UUAAACAUUUCAUUCAUUUCACAAUCAUCACAUCCUACAAAAACAUAGUGUUGUGUCAGAAGGAAUGAGUUUGCUCUGAAGAGGAACAGGAACUACUUCUGGGUUUGACUGAAGGUUAAACACAGAUAAGAUCGCAUCAGUCAAUAAAAAAACAUGAACAUUCAGCCUUGUUGCUGUUGUGCAUGUUUGAUUGUUUUUUUCUCUGCUAAGCAUUGUUUCUUCUUCUGGUGUAAAGUGCAGGUGAUGCCAACAGAUUUGCCCGAAACACGCUUUGUUGGAAUAAAUGAAACUAAAUACACAGUGAUGCAGGAGCUGCAGUCCUGUAUUGUGAAUCAAAGCCUAUCAUCAGUGUCUACUGUCUGCAGAGCGAGUUGUUGUAGCAGUAGGAUCCUCUGCCAGCUGAAGUUCCUGUCCUGGUGUUAAAAGAGAGAUCAGCUGCUGAUAAUCUGCUGUGUGUUGGUCCUGGAGAACUACUGCACAGGACGGAUCUUCAUGAUGAUGAAGCAGAUCUGAGGUCUGUGAGGGAGUGAUGAUGGACAGGUGACCAGCUGCACCUUUAAACUAGCGAGUUGUUGUAGCAGUAGGAUCCUCUGCCAGCUGAAGUUCCUGUCCUGGUGUUAAAAGAGAGAUCAGCUGCUGAUAAUCUGCUGUGUGUUGGUCCUGGAGAACUACUGCACAGGACGGAUCUUCAUGAUGACGGUCUUCAGGGAGUUAAAUUAAGUUAAAAAAGAAAAUGCCCGUUCUGUGGCCAAAGCCAAAGGGCUCCUUUGAUCAAACUUCAGUCGAUGGAGAGACUUUUCUUCUGUUGCAGCGGUACUUUAUACUUUAUUUAUUCUGAUUAGAAACACAUACUAUAGAACAUUUAGUCUUUCUGUAUCACACAUAAACAGGAGUGCAGCUCAGACAUUUCUCUGCAUGAAAUGAAGUUGUGUAUUAGGCGGACAUGUUUUCUGCAGCAGUGAAGCAGAUCUGAGGUCAGAGACUCUGUGAGGCAGUGAUGAUGGACAGGUGACCAGCUGCACCUUUAGACUAGCGAGUUGUUGUAGCAGUAGGAUCCUCUGCCAGCUGAAGUUCCUGUCCUGGUGUUAAAAGAGAGAUCAGCUGCUGAUAAUCUGCUGUGUGUUGGUCCUGGAGAACUACUGCACAGGACGGAUCUUCAUGAUGAUGAAGCAGAUCUGAGGUCUGUGAGGGAGUGAUGAUGGACAGGUGACCAGCUGCACCUUUAAACUAGCGAGUUGUUGUAGCAGUAGGAUCCUCUGCCAGCUGAAGUUCCUGUCCUGGUGUUAAAAGAGAGAUCAGCUACUGAUAAUCUGCUGUGUGUUGGUCCUGGAGAACUACUGCACAGGACGGAUCUUCAUGAUGAUGAAGCAGAUCUGAGGUCUGUGAGGGAGUGAUGAUGGACAGGUGACCAGCUGCACCUUUAAACUAGCGAGUUGUUGUAGCAGUAGGAUCCUCUGCCAGCUGAAGUUCCUGUCCUGGUGUUAAAAGAGAGAUCAGCUGCUGAUAAUCUGCUGUGUGUUGGUCCUGGAGAACUACUGCACAGGACGGAUCUUCAUGAUGACGGUCUUCAGGGAGUUAAAUUAAGUUAAAAAAGAAAAUACCCGUUCUGUGGCCAAAGCCAAAGGGCUCCUUUGAUCGAACUUCAGUCGAUGGAGAGACUUUUCUUCUGUUGCAGCGGUACUUUAUACUUUAUUUAUUCUGAUUAGAAACACAUACUAUAGAACAUUUAGUCUUUCUGUAUCACACAUAAACAGGAGUGCAGCUCAGACAUUUCUCUGCAUGAAAUGAAGUUGUGUAUUAGGCGGACAUGUUCUCUGCAGCAGUGAAGCAGAUCUGAGGUCAGAGACUCUGUGAGGCAGUGAUGAUGGACAGGUGACCAGCUGCACCUUUAAACUGUGAGUUAAAACAACACUCACAUGUCCACAUGUACAUAAGUAAAGUUUUAAGGUACUUGUACUUCAGUGUUUCCCUGUCAUGCUUUGUUGCAGUACUUCUCAGAGGGAAAUAUUGGACUCCAAAUGGUUAUUUUAAGUAUUAUUACAGAUUGAGCUGUCCAGCAGCAUGUAACAACCUUUACCAGCUGGAACAUUAAGGUGAUGAACACAUGAAUGAGUUAGUAAUUAUAAUCCAUUUAUAUAUAUUAUUCUGAAAUGACCCAUUCUGCAUAAUGAGUACUUUUACUGGUGGGAAGUAAGUAUAUUUUAAUGCUAAUACAGGAUGCAGGUUAACGUAGUAUUUCUAGACCGUGCUAUUUGAAGGGUUUAAUUUAGAAAUAUUUAUUGUAUUCAUUUAUUUAUAAGAACAUGACUCUUUCAGUUAUUGUUUAUUAUGUGGAACUUCAGGGGUUCAUCCCAACUUUGGGAUGAAUGAAUGUAUAAAUGAAUGAAUUCUCAUAUGUCAUGGUGUUUACUGAAGGAUUUAAGGUAAUAAACAAACAAAACUACAUCACAUGUUCUUCAUUUGUUUCAUUUCCAGAUUCAGUGUUUGUUAAUGAAAUUAAGGGCGAUCUGCACACUUUAAGGCAUUUAUUGUGUAAACAAUUCAAAAUG